rnacentral:tRNA from 1 species
AUUUAAAUAGUUUAAUAAAAAUAUUAGUCUGUGAAUCUAAAGAUUUAGUUUUAAUU